CUUCGCUUCAGUGUGCACACGGCUUGGAGUUUGUCCAGGGAACCUCUCUCACCUGGCUGUCUCAACAGGAGUGUGACUCUUGCGUAUAACAAUUAGCCUGAGGAUGCACCUUAUCUUAAAAGCAUGCUGGGGAGGACUCAAGAUGGCACUGUAAGAACAACCCAGGAUUGGAGCUUGUGUUGAAUCCGCAAAUGAGGCCUCAAGCUCAGACAGAAGUGAGAAACUGGAUCCCUCUCAGGUCUUUCUGCACAAGUGUCUUGUAGACUGGGUUUCACCGUGAUGCCCAGGCUGAACUCCUGACCUGAAGUGAUUUGCCUGCCUCCGCCUCCCAAAGUGCUGGGAUUACAGGCUUAAGCCAUUGCAACCGGCCAGGUUUUUGUGUGUGUGUUUGUUUGUUUGUUUUAAAUGUGAUUCAAAGAAACAAAUCAAAAGGAGUUCAGAAAAACAAACUCUCUCUAGAUUGCUUUUAUGGGUUACUAUUAUCAAAAACUAUUAUGGAAGAGGUAGGUGAUGACAUA